rnacentral:rRNA from 1 species
CCUACGGGGUGCAGCAGUCGAGAAUCAUUCACAAUGGGGGAAACCCUGAUGGUGCGACGCCGCGUGGGGGAAUGAAGGUCUUCGGAUUGUAAACCCCUGUCAUGUGGGAGCAAAUUUAAAAGAUAGUACCACAAGAGGAAGAGACGGCUAACUCUGUGCCAGCAGCCGCGGUAAUACAGAGGUCUCAAGCGUUGUUCGGAAUCACUGGGCGUAAAGCGUGCGUAGGCUGUUUCGUAAGUCGUGUGUGAAAGGCGCGGACUCAACCCGCGGACGGCACAUGAUACUGCGAGACUAGAGUAAUGGAGGGGGAACCGGAAUUCUCGGUGUAGCAGUGAAAUGCGUAGAUAUCGAGAGGAACACUCGUGGCGAAGGCGGGUUCCUGGACAUUAACUGACGCUGAGGCACGAAGGCCAGGGGAGCGAAAGGGAUUAGAUACCCGGGUAGUC